GGUCAAGUGACGAAGCGUACACGGUGGAUGCCUUGGCAGCCAGAGGCGAUGAAGGACGUUGUAGCCUGCGAUAAGCUUCGGGGAGUCGGCAAACAGACUUUGAUCCGGAGAUUUCCGAAUGGGGAAACCCA
rnacentral:rRNA from 1 species